UAUAUAUAUAUAUAUAUAUAUAUAUAUAUAUAUAUAUAUAUAUAUAUAUAUAUAUAUAAAAUUAUUGCUGAUGGUGAAGAAGGGUAAUCAUGCAAAUAAUAUUUUUAACCAAGAAAAUUAAGUAGAGAAAACUUUGUAAAGCUAGCUAGCUAGCUGGUUUCUCCAUUUAUUUUUUAAUUUUUAGGAAAUCCGAGUGUAUGCAUGUAACAAUAUAUAAUCAUAUAGAAAGUAGGAGAAAAAGGCAGUAUAUAAGAAUUAGAAUAAUGGUUAUUAUUCGAUUGAAAUAUAAAGAGAGAAUGAAAAGUAGUAGAGGAAAGGAAAAAAGAAGAUGAAACAGAAAUAGUUAUAUAUACCUAAGACACCAAAUGUAAAUGCCCAUGGGUGGUGAAUGUCAAAGAUAGCCAUACGCUAGCUCUAGCUGCAGUGUGUACAAACAAACUAAUUAUAUAUUAUGGAAUGUGCUCGAUCUCUGUGUGUGCGCCUCUCUCUCUCUCUCUCUCUCUCUCUCUCUCUCUCUCUCUCUCUCUCUCUCUCUGUCUCUCUCUCUACGGAAUGUGCAGAAGCAGCAGCAGGGUCUCGAUCGAUCGAUCGAUCUAAAAGAAAGAAAGAAAGAAAGAAAGAAAGAAAGAAACCCUUUUGCUAGCUAAUUAAUGAAAUGUUUAAGUAAUAUAUCAUGGGAGAAGUGAUGAAUGGAAAGGAAAGUGAAGAGUGGGGGAUUUAUAUAUAGAGAGAGAGAGAGAGAUCAGACGUUUGGGAAUGCAAGUCAUCUAUGUUGCAUGACAAGUGGAAUUAUGAUUAGUAGGUGGCGUACCAUAAAAUCAUUCAUCAAACGUACAAUAUAUCACACACACACGCCGCCUCACGUGCCCUUGCAUGCUUUCUACACAUUUUACACUUCAUUCCUACGUAGGAUUCAUCCGAUGCUGCCUGCCACUCUUAUUUUUGGAUUUUUCUCAACAAGUUUAAUUAAUACAUACAUAAUUUAAUUUUUAUUUAUUUAUUUCACAUGUAUAUAUAAUAUUGGUUAAUUAGUCCGUCUUCCUAUAAUUAAUAAAUUAAAAAGAAAAAAAUAAUUAAUUGGAUAAAGGUAUAUGUUUUUGGUGGAUGCAUGGUAUGGGAAUGGGAUGGGAUGAAAGGGGUGUGAGUCAUAAAAGAGGAGUGAAAAAAUCACGUGAGAGUGCAACAAACAUGCAUAUAAUACAUAACAACUUUAUAAUUAAAUAAACAAAGUUCCUAAAAUGUGCAAACAAAAUAAUAAGCAGAAAACACGCACCCUUAGAAUCAUCACCUAAUUAAGAUUUGUCGUUUUGUCGCACCGCUGCAUAUAUUGCUUUCUGUUUCUUCAUCAGCUCAGCUGUUAGGUAUUGAUAUAUGUCGUGACACUAAACAUGAGAUACAUCCAUCAACAUUGUGACGAUGCUGUUAUUUUUUGUUUCUAUUAGGUGGAACCCCAACUACGUCUAUAUACCUUCCUUUAUUAUUAUAUAUACACAUCGAUCUUUUUUUUCCUUCUUCUUUUUAAUGAUAUGAUAUAUGGUGCCAUUAAUAUACCAUAUAUUAAUUAUUUUUUCUAGGGUUGGGCUAAAUUUAGCAGCACAGCUAAUUCAACACCAGUCCUUCUCGUGCAUUAUAUUGAUGAUAAGAUAUAUUGCUUGAUUAAUUAUAUGCAUAAUUAGAGUGAAAUUAGUCAAAAUAAAAACAAAUCAUUCAGCUAUCUUAUCUUAUAUAUCAAUUUGUGGAAAUGGAACUAUGGUCCCAUGGGAUAUAUAUAAGACUUAUCAGAAGCUAUACGCACUAAUUAUAUUAAGAAUCCUUUUAUAUAUAUGGCUUUUGUCAAGACACACAUAUAUAUAUUAUCACGAUUAAUUAGUGUGUGUUGAUGUGAUCUACAAAUAUUUAUUCAUCAAUUAAUUAAUCUCUUCCCUUUACCUUAUCAUACUACAACUUUAAUAUUAUUGCGGAGCGAACCAUAUGUUUCAAAUACGCAAUCAUAACAUAUACGAUCUCUUUUGCAAAUUAUAAAACAUAUAAGCUCAUAAAUUCAUAAUUACUACUAUAUACAUCAUUUAUAUCUACGAUCAAUUUUCUCAAUAGGGCAAAAAUAAAAUAAAAUACAUAGUAGUAGUAAUAGUAAUAAUAAUAAUAUACGGCAUUUUUUGUCGGGUAACAAAAUUACGACAAGAACAUGUUCUUGUCGGUGCUUCCUAAAAAUCUUUUUUAGUUUGGAAUAAAAGGAUGGUUGCGUGCGAGAUGCCAGAUCAACGUUUUUGAUUGACGGCGCUUCCGAUAAAUCGUUCUUCUUAUAUGGGUUAGAUGUUAUACCAAUGUGUUUGAUUGACGGCACAGUAAUUGACGGCACUUCCAAUAAAAUAUUUCGAAGCAUAGAAGGAUAGUUGUGAGAUACCGGAUCAACGCUUUUGAUUGGCGGCGCAGCAGCGAGUAAUUGACAAUGCUUCCAAUAAAAAAAAGUUUAAUUUAUACAUAAAAGGAAAUUUCGUGAGAUGUCAGAUUAACGCUUUUGAUUGACGGCGACGUGAAAAGGUCUAAAUUGUCGGAAGGCAACGUUGCUUCGAUAUCUUUCACCCUUUUCUUUCUCAUUCGACGACCUUAGCUUAUUUACUACUGCAUCUUGGUUGAACGGUACAAAUAUUGUUUACGCUAAAUAAAUAAAGGUAAUAUGUGCAUUCACCUCUUCUAAUCGUUUGAUUGACGAUCAUACUCUAAAUUGAAGCUCUGUUUCGUGAUGCAACAAUAGCCUAAGUAUUUAAUUUUUUUGCAUCAACCAUCUUCCUUGACUAGGUAGCCUAAGUUAUUUCCAAACACUACUACUUACUUCUAAAUUAGGUGAUAAAAGAUGAUUGUUUAGAACAUUUGCCAACACCACCUAAAUGGAACGUACAUAUAUAGUAACACAUGUAGAUUACGUUCAUUAAUCAAAGUCCGUAUCUUUCAACGUAACUCAUCAACAAAAAACAAAAAGUCAGUAUAUUUCGUCUUUUUUCUAAUUAAAUAAAAAAUUGCAUGCGUGCAUGCGUAUAUAGAAGAGAUUAAUUCUGUUGGAAGAUGGAAAAUGGAAAUAUAUAGCUAGUAUUCAUUUUAAACGGAAAGUUUAUCUUCAAAUUUACGCAAUCAUUAUCUCCAUGAUUAAUAGGUUUUAGUGAGUAACGGGCCGCAACGUACAUGAAUAGACCGUCUCGGGAAUUUAAUUUCUAAUUGGUAAAAGAGAUGAACAUUAAUAUAAUUGGCUCAAGUGCAAGCACAUAUAAAUCACGAUAUAUGUUUUUAAUAGUGAGAAUUGUAUUAUUUGAGGGUGCAAAGUUUAUUAAAAGCUUAAAUGAUAAUUUUGAUAUGAAACGUAAAAUACAAAUUAUCAAAGAGAAUUCAGCCUGGUGAACUAUGAUAUGAGUCUACGACGAGAUUCGAAUAUGAAGUGGUUGUGUUGUUCUCCAUUAAAAUAGUAUGUAAUAAUUAAAGUUUAGUUCGAAAUACUUUCAAUAGGGUUCUAUGGUGUAGUGGUUAGCACUCUGGACUUUGAAUCCAGCGACCUGGGUUCGACUCCCGGUAGGACCUCUUUUUUAAUAUUUAGAAAUGAAUUGAAUGAUAUAAUACUGAUAAUCAUUUAAAAGCCAUUUUUUAAGGCCUCGGCCUGCUAUGUGACUCGCAUUUAUGUGUGACAAUCAUUUAAAAGCAGCCAGCUAUAUAUAUAUAUAUAUAUAUAUAUAUAUAUAUACAUUAAUUAUAUUAGCGCCCGACAAAUUAAUAUAUAUGCCUGCAUUGAUUUAAAGAUCGAUUCAGUGUAUAUAUUUAUUAUAUAUAUAUAUAUUGGAGUGGACUGGAAUACUAAAAAAGCACAAGCCACCCUUGGGCCUUGUGCUGCCCCCGCAUUUAUAUACUUUUAAACCCUAAAAACUAACUUUAUUUUCAAGUACCAUUACCAUAUAUACCCCCAGUACUAUAUAUAUAUACAAUAUAGAUACACCACCAUCCCCAAUCUCAUCAGUUAAAGUACGUAUACUAGCUAGCUAGUUAAUUACUUCUUGUGCAAUUCUACAACUGCUUGCUUAUAUUUCCACAAUAUAUUAUAAUAAGAAAAAAGAUGCAAUACUCAUCAUCAUCAUCAUCAUCAUCAUCAUCAUCAUCAUCAACAUCAUCGGCACGGCGGGGGCGGCAGUAGUUGGGAGCCAUUAAUGGUGAGGGUGGAGAGGAUUGCAUCUGGCAGCGCUGUGGUUGUAUUCAGCAUGAGCAGCUGCUGCACUUAAACAUCUUUUUUCUGGGAUGGGUGUUAGCCCUACUGUCUACGACCUUGACCUCGAUCCCAGUACUACAGCUGGCAUGGAUAUUCAGACAACCGUCUUGGUGUCGGCUCCUCCCUUCCCGUCGUGUUCGUUCUCGUCGGACCUAUAUAUGGACAGUGUUAUGGCUUCCCAUAUCGAUCAAUGGCACUUUGGUUCCACUUCUUAAGGAAGCCGGAGCUCUUUGGCUUUAAAUCUUUUCAUAUAUAUACUUCAAUUUUCAUCAUAUAUUUAUAUCAAUCACACUCUUUUUUUUGGGAUUUAAUUAAUUAGUUAUAAUUAACUAGAUUUAACUAGUUGUUGUAUUACUAUUUACUAGUAAUUAGGAUAUUCAUUGGUAUUUAUUAUUCUUUGUUAA
rnacentral:lncRNA from 1 species